AGCCGAUGAUAAACUUAUACAUAUAUCGAGGACUCAAGUACCACCAUCCUCUUUCAUGAGGGUGCUUCUUUAGAAUAAACAAUGCUCUAAAGAGUGAAGUACUUGGUUGGAUAUGAAGCCAAUCAAUGAUAAAAAUAGUGAUCACCCAAAUAGAGUUCAGAGUGAUCUAGGUCGAAAGAACUCUAAAGAAGUCAAAAAUACUAGAGGUGAAGGGAUGGAAAGGCAAUCGAAGAUUAGCUCAGAGAGUCUCUUCGUACGUGGUGACUUGACCCUCUGGAGUACUUGAAAUACAAUUUUUCUGACUUGGAGCUUCAAGCUAGAAAGUAGACAAAAUAGAGUACUGAGAUCGAAUCCUCCAAAGGUCAGACUCAGCAAUGGAUGACUCCUCGCUCCUAGGAUUGAAGAUGUCUCUGAAUCCCUGCAUAGGAUUCUCCGCACCAUGUGGUUUGGGACCCCCAUGCUUAAAUGAAGAAGUGACCUCAGUAGUGGUUCGAGGACUCUCCUCAGACCCAGACC
rnacentral:lncRNA from 1 species